rnacentral:rRNA from 1 species
AUUGAACGCUGGCGGCAGGCCUAACACAUGCAAGUCGAGCGAGCGGCGGACGGGUGAGUAAUGUCUGGGAAACUGCCUGAUGGAGGGGGAUAACUACUGGAAACGGUAGCUAAUACCGCAUACCAUCAGCUUUGCCCAGAUGGGAUUAGCUAGUAGGUGGGGUAAUGGCUCACCUAGGCGACGAUCCCUCACUGGUCUGAGAGGAUGACCAGCCACACGGGAACUGAGACACGGUCCAGACGCCUACGGGAGGCAGCGGUGGGGAAUAUUGCACAAUGGGCGCAAGCCUGAUGCAGACAGGCCGGGGGUGGGAAGAGGGCCUUCGGGUUGUAAAGCACUUUCAGCGGGGAGGCGGUACCCGCAGAAGAAGCACCGGCUAACUCCGUGCCAGCCGCCGCGGUAAUAC